GAUGAACGCUAGCGAUAGGCUUAACACAUGCAAGUCGAGGGGCAGCAUAGGAUUAGCUUGCUAAUCUGGAUGGCGACCGGCGCACGGGUGAGUAACACGUAUGCAACCUACCUAUAACAGGGGGAUAGCUCGCUGAAAGGCGGAUUAAUACCCCAUAACACAGGGAUGCCGCAUGGCAAUAUUUGUUAAAGGAUACGUCUGGUUAUAGAUGGGCAUGCGUUCCAUUAGCUAGUUGGUAAGGUAACGGCUUACCAAGGCGACGAUGGAUAGGGGUUCUGAGAGGAAGGUCCCCCACACUGGUACUGAGACACGGACCAGACUCCUACGGGAGGCAGCAGUGAGGAAUAUUGGUCAAUGGGCGGGAGCCUGAACCAGCCAAAUCGCGUGAAGGACGACGGUAUUAUGUAUUGUAAACUUCUUUUAUAGGGGAAUAACAUCAGGGACGUGUCCCUGCCUGUAUGUACCCUAUGAAUAAGCAUCGGCUAACUCCGUGCCAGCCGCCGCCGUAAAAC
rnacentral:rRNA from 1 species